UACGGGGGGGGCAAGCGUUGUUCGGAAUUACUGGGCGUAAAGCGCGCGUAGGUGGUUCGUUAAGUUGGAUGUGAAAUCCCCGGGCUCAACCUGGGAACUGCAUUCAAAACUGUCGAGCUAGAGUAUGGUAGAGGGUGGUGGAAUUUCCUGUGUAGCAGUGAAAUGCGUAGAUAUAGGAAGGAACACCAGUGGCGAAGGCGACCACCUGGACUGAUACUGACACUGAGGUGCGAAAGCGUGGGGAGCAAACAGG
rnacentral:rRNA from 1 species